CCUACGGGAGGCUGCCGUGGGGAAUAUUGGACAAUGGGCGAAAGCCUGAUCCAGCCAUGCCGCGUGUGUGAAGAAGGCCUUCGGGUUGUAAAGCACUUUCAGUGGGGAAGAAAGCCUUGGGGCUAAUACCCUCGAGGAAGGACAUCACCCACAGAAGAAGCACCGGCUAACUCCGUGCCAGCAGCCGCGGUAAUACGGAGGGUGUGAGCGUUAAUCGGAAUUACUGGGCGUAAAGCGCGCGUAGGCGGUCUGAUAAGCCGGUUGUGAAAGCCCCGGGCUCAACCUGGGAACGGCAUCCGGAACUGUCAGGCUAGAGUGCAGGAGAGGAAGGUAGAAUUCCCGGUGUAGCGGUGAAAUGCGUAGAGAUCGGGAGGAAUACCAGUGGCGAAGGCGGCCUUCUGGACUGACACUGACGCUGAGGUGCGAAAGCGUGGGUAGCAAACAGGAUUAGAUACCCCUGUAGUC
rnacentral:rRNA from 1 species